rnacentral:rRNA from 1 species
UCUCGAGAAACGAAUUUUAGUUCAACCUAAAGUAAACAAAAACAUGUAAAUUAUACCUUACUUUAAAGUAAUUCAAAUAAGGUACAGCCUAUUUGAUACAGGAUUCAACCUUUACCAACGGGUAACAAUUAACUAACACCCCUUAAGUGGGCCUAAAGGCAGCCAUCUUGUUAAAAGCGUUAAAGCUUAGUCGUGUUAAUUUUAAUAAAUACUACACUAUUGACCCCUUCACCACUACUGAGAACUUCUAUAAAAUAUAGAACCUUUUAUGCUAAAACUAGUAACAAGAGGAAACACCUCUCUAUCAUGCAAGUAUAAACCAGAAAGAAUUACUCACUGGUAUUUAACAUAUAAAAUAGUAACUCCUCCUAGAAAACCCUAUUAUUAUACAUAAUGUUAAUCUAACACUAGAGCAUCUCAAGAAAGAUUAAAAGAAAAAGAAGGAACUCGGCAAAUAUUUACCCCGCCUGUUUACCAAAAACAUCACCUCUUGACUUUAUAAGAGGCCCAGCCUGCCCAGUGACUCUUGUUUAACGGCCGCGGUACCCUAACCGUGCGAAGGUAGCGUAAUCACUUGUCCUAUAAAUGAGGACUAGUAUGAAAGGCUUCACGAGGGUUAAACUGUCUCCUUUCUCUAAUCAGUAAACCUAAUCUCCCCGUGAAGAAGCGGGGAUAACCCUAUAAGACGAGAAGACCCCAUGGAGCUUUAAACGCUAUAGCAUAUGCCACAUUUAUCAUUUCUCCCCGGCACUCACACCCGUGACAUUCUGUUUAAGUGUUUUUGGUUGGGGUGACCGCGGGGAAUAACCUAUCCCCCGCGAUGAAGAGGUAUACCCUUAAACUACAAGUCACAACUUUAAGUAUCAGAAAACUGACAUACUUUGACCCAAUUCUUUGAUCAACGGACCAAGUUACCUGGGGAUAACAGCGCAAUCCACCUCGAGAGCCCUUAUCGACAGGUGGGCUUACGACCUCGAUGUUGGAUCAGGGUAUCCUGGUGGUGCAGCCGCUACCAAUGGUUCGUUUGUUCAACGAUUAAAACCCUACGUGAUCUGAGUUCAGACCGGAGUAAUCCAGGUCAGUUUCUAUCUAUAAUAGAGCUUUUUUCAGUACGAAAGGAUCAAAACAGCGUGACCUAUGUACACACAAGUCACAGUUAAUCAUUUUAGACUAACUCUUAAAAAAUAAUUAACCUAUCCCUCCCCCUUCUAAAGAAGAACAGUUAGCGUAGUAUACCCCGGCUUUACAAAAGAUCUAAGUCCUUUUCAUGGGGGUUCAAGUCCCCUCACUA